rnacentral:rRNA from 1 species
AUGAACGACAUUGUUUCCCGCAGUCAGAGCGCUUUCAUCAAGUCUAGAACUAUCCACGACAAUUUCUUGUAUGUCAGGAACACCGCCCGCCGGUUACACCGCUGCAAAACUCCAUCGCUUCUGAUCAAAUUGGACAUCGCCAAGGCCUUUGACACUAUUCGCUGGGAUUACAUGUUAGAUCUUUUGCAACGCCUCGGCUUUCCUCAAAGAUGGCGGGCCCUCCUGACGAGUCUCUUCACCACGGCCUCCUCUAGGGUCUUCCUCAACGGAAUCCCUGGGAGGGACAUCCUGCAUGGACGCGGUUUUUGUCAGGGCAAUCCCAUCUCGCCCCUCCUGUUCGACAUUGCCAUCGACCCACUUCAGAGACUUCUG